rnacentral:rRNA from 1 species
AGUAACACGUGAGUAAUCUGCCCUUGGCUUUGGGAUAACUACCGGAAACGGGUGGCUAAUACCGGAUAUGACCAUGCUCGGCAUCGGGUGUGGUGGAAAAGUUUUUUCGGCCAGGGGAUGUGCUCGCGGCCUAUCAGCUUGUUGGUGGGGUAAUGGCCUACCAAGGCUUCGACGGUAGCCGGCCUGAGAGGGUGACCGGCCACACUGGGACUGAGACACGGCCCAGACUCCUACGGGAGGCAGCAGUGGGGAAUAUUGGACAAUGGGCGGAAGCCUGAUCCAGCAACGCCGCGUGAGGGAUGACGGCCUUCGGGUUGUAAACCUCUUUCAGUACCGACGAAGCGCCGAUGAUGGUGGUGACGGUAGGUACAGAAGAAGCACCGGCCAACUACGUG